rnacentral:lncRNA from 1 species
UAUCCUUUCUUUUUUUGCUUUUCAGGGGACUGGUGAAGACAGCUACUGCAGGGGAUUUUCCUUAUACAGAACAGGAUCCAUGUUUAUCCAUGCUACAUACAAUGAGAUGAGCAGCGUCAAAGUUUGGGGCUCAACUACGACUGAUGCUGUGCAAAGAUGGCCAGUUCCAGAUUACUUACAUUUUUAGCAGAAAGAGAAAAGCAAUAACAUGGAUUAUAUGAAUGACAGAAGGCACUUCAACUUCUUGCAGGGGUGGAUGCAGUUCCUACUGUUGUGUGUAAGUACUUGGGGAUUGCGAGGGGAAAAGCAUUUUCUACCUAAAUUAUGGGCCAUUAACUUCGACUUAAUAUUACUUUGAGUCCAAUAUUCUGUGUCUGACUGAACUGUGUGUUCCUGGAAGACUUAUUCUGAAGAAAAGGUGACAUGUAAAAUACCUGCUAUUCUACUAUUUUUCUUGACAGAAUCUCUUCCUUUAUAAAUCAUUUUGUUUUUCUCUUACUUCCUCUUCUAACCCCAAUACAGUCCCAGUUUGACUCUAUUUGACCUGGGCAUCCAGCUCUAUUUUUCACUGUAACUUUCUCUAUUUUUAGUCUCUUGAUCAAGUCACACUUUAGUCUU